rnacentral:rRNA from 1 species
CGCGAUUCGCCCUUCGGGGUGCACCAGGCGCGAAAACUCUACAAUGCAGGCAACUGCGAUAGGGGAACAUCGAGUGAUCCUCAUAUUGGGGGUCUGUCCACCCGUCUAAAAAACGGGUGUUAGCAAGGGCCGGGCAAGACCGGUGCCAGCCGCCGCGGUAAUACCGGCGGCUCGAGUGGUGGCCGAUAUUAUUGAGUCUAAAGGGUCCGUAGCCGGCUUUGCAAGUCUCUCGGGAAAUCCAGCGGCUUAACCGUUGGUCGUCCGGGGGGUACUACAUUGCUUGGGACUGGGAGAGGUAGGAGGUACUCAGGGGGUAGGAGUGAAAUCCUGUAAUCCUUUGGGGACCACCGGUGGCGAAGGCGUCCUACCAGAACAGGUCCGACGGUGAGGGACGAAAGCUAGGGGCACGAACCGGAUUAGAUACCCGGGUAGUCCUAGCCGUAAACGAUGCUCGCUAGGUGUCACAACAGUCGUGAACUGUUGUGGUGCCGUAGGGAAGCCGUGAAGCGAGCCACUUGGGAAGUACGACCGCAAGGUUGAAACUUAAAGGAAUUGGCGGGGGAGCAC